GAUGAAGAACGUAGCGAAAUGCGAUAAGUAGUGUGAAUUGCAGAAUUCAGUGAAUCAUCGAAUCUUUGAACGCACAUUGCGCCCCUUGGUAUUCCAUGGGGCAUGCCUGUUCGAGCGUCAUUUGAACCUUCAAGCUCUGCUUGGUGUUGGGUGUUUUGUCUCGCCUCUGCGUGUAGACUCGCCUUAAAACAAUUGGCAGCCGGCGUAUUGAUUUCGGAGCGCAGUACAUCUCGCGCUUUGCACUCAUAACGGCGACGUCCAAAAGUACAUUUUUACACUCUUGACCUCGGAUCAGGUAGGGAUACCCGCUGAACUUAAGCAUAUCAAUAAGCGGAGGA
rnacentral:misc_RNA from 1 species